GACGAACGCUGGCGGCGUGCUUAACACAUGCAAGUCGAACGAAGUGGCGAACGGGUGAGUAACGCGUAAUCAACCUGCCCUUCAGAGGGGGACAACAGUUGGAAACGACUGCUAAUACCGCAUACGGAAGGAGGGGAUUGCGUCUGAUUAGCUAGUUGGGGGGGUAACGGCCCACCAGGGCGAUGAUCAGUAGCCGGUCUGAGAGGAUGAACGGCCACAUUGGGACUGAGACACGGCCCAGACUCCUACGGGAGGCAGCAGGGGGGAAUCUUCCGCCAUGGACGAAAGUCUUACGGAGCAACGCCGCGGGAGUGAUGACGGCCUUCGGGUUGUAAAGCUAUGUUAAUCGGGACGCGGUACCGGAAUAGAAAGCAACGGCUAACUACGUGCCAGCAGCCGCGGUAAUUC
rnacentral:rRNA from 1 species